AGCUAGAAAAUUAUGCGAAAACUGAAGAAGCUAAAGUUGAGGAGCUUAUAAAGGCAGUUGCUGAUUCCGGUGCCAAAGUAAUUGUUAGUGGAGCAGCAGUUGGGGAGAUGGCACUUCAUUUCUGUGAGCGCUACAAGCUUAUGGUUUUGAAAAUUAGUUCAAAAUUUGAAUUAAGAUGAUUUUGCCGCACUACUGAUGCUGUUGCUAUGUUAAAGCUUAGCAAGCCAAACCCAGAUGACCUGGGACAUGUUGAUUCAGUUUCAGUAGAAGAAAUUGGUGGUGCUAGGGUCACUGUUGUGAAGAAUGAAGAAGGUGGGAACUCCGUAACCACUGUUUUAUUGCGAGGAAGCACAUAUAGCAUUUUAGAUGACAUUGAAAGAGCAGUUGAUGAUGGAGUAAAUACUUACAAGGUAAUUUG